GCAAACUUGGUCAUUUAGAGGAAGUAAAAGUCGUAACAAGGUCUCCGUUGGUGAACCAGCGGAGGGAUCAUUAAAGAGUUUAUAAAACUCCCAAACCCAUGUGAAUUUACCAUUGUUGCCUCGGCGAAACCUACCCUGUACCUACCCUGUAGCUACCCUGUAGCCGUUGGGAGAAGUUACGCGGUAGCGCUUCGCCGGCGGAUUUUUCAAACUCGUUAUUCAUAUGCUUUCUGAGCGUCUUAUUUUGAAUAAGUCAAAACUUUCAACAACGGAUCUCUUGGUUCUGGCAUCGAUGAAGAACGCAGC
rnacentral:misc_RNA from 1 species